CCGUUGAAAUGGUAGCGGAUGAGGUGUGGGUAGCGGAGAAAUUCCAAUCGAACUCGGAGAUAGCUGGUUCUCUCCGAAAUAGCUUUAGGGCUAGCCUCGACUUAGAUUACCGGAGGUAAAGCACUGAAUGGGCUAGGGGCCGAGAGGUUACUGAACCCUAUCAAACUCAGAAUGCCGGAUAAUCGAUGGUCGGGAGUCAGACGAUGUGAGAUAAGUCUCAUCGUCAAAAGGGAAACAGCCCAGACCCACAGCUAAGGUCCCUAAACAUGGUUAAGUGGAGAAGGAUGUGGGGUUGCCCAGACAACCAGGAUGUUGGCUUAGAAGCAGCCACUCAUUAAAAGAGUGCGUAAUAGCUCACUGGUCGAGUGACCCUGCGCCGAAGAUUUAACGGGGCUAAAUCAUGUACCGAAGCUUGGGAUAUGCAGCAAUGCAUGUGGUAGGAGAGCGUCGUAUACGGGGCGAAGUCGGAGCGGAAGCGCCGGUGGACUGUAUACGAGUGAGAAUGCCGGAAUGAGUAGCGCGAAUUAUGUGAGAAUCAUAAUGGCCGAAAGUCUAAGGUUUUUGAAGGAAGGUUCGUCCGCUUCAAGUUAGUCGGGAGCUAAGGCGAGGCCGAGAGGCGUAGUCGAUGCACAUACGGUUGAUAUUCCGUAACCACCGAAAGAUUUAAGCAUGGGGACACUUUGAAAGGGCAUGACCCGGGCGAUGGUAGACCCGGGCGUAAGGGACUGAAAUUUAAGUAGGGAAGCAUGCUUGGACGAAGGCGAGAAAAGCCAUGUGUAUAUUUAAGGUGCCCGUACCGCAAACCGACACAGGUAGACAGGAAGAGGAUUCUAAGGCCAACGGGAGAAGGGUAGUUAAGGAACUCGGCAAAUUGACCCCGUAACUUCGGGAAAAGGGGUGCUCUCUGAAAGGGGAGCCGCAGUGAAUAGGCCCAGGCAACUGUUUAGCAAAAACACAGGUCUCUGCGAAAUCGAAAGAUGAAGUAUAGGGGCUGACACCUGCCCAGUGCUGGAAGGUUAAGAGGAGGCGUGCAAGCGCCGAAUUGAAGCCCCAGUGAACGGCGGCCGUAACUAUAACGGUCCUAAGGUAGCGAAAUUCCUUGUCGGGUAAGUUCCGACCCGCACGAAUGGUGUAAUGAUCUGGGCACUGUCUCAACUACCCGCCCGGCGAAAUUGUAGUACCGGUGAAGAUGCCGGUUACCCGCGACAAGACGGAAAGACCCCAUGGAGCUUCACUGCAGCUUGAUAUUGGGUUUCGGUAUUUUAUGUACAGGAUAGGCGGGAGACUGGGAAACCCUGGCGCCAGCCGGGGAGGAGUCACCCUUGGGAUACCGCCCUUAAGGUACUGGAAUUCUAACCUGCGGCCAUGAAACUGGCCGGGGGACAUUGUCAGGCGGGCAGUUUGACUGGGGCGGUCGCCUCCAAAAGCGUAACGGAGGCGCUCAAAGGUUCGCUCAGUACGGCCGGAAACCGUACCAAAGAGUGUAAACGCAUAAGCGAGCCUAACUGCGAGACCGACGGGUCGAGCAGUAACGAAAGUUGGAGUUAGUGAGCCAGCGGUAUGAGAGUGGAAUUGCCGUCGCUCAACGGAUAAAAGCUACCCUGGGGAUAACAGGCUGAUCUCCCCCAAGAGUCCACAUCGACGGGGAGGUUUGGCACCUCGAUGUCGGCUCAUCACAUCCUGGGGCUGUAGUAGGUCCCAAGGGUUCGGCUGUUCGCCGAUUAAAGUGGUACGCGAGCUGGGUUCAGAACGUCGUGAGACAGUUCGGUCCCUAUCUGUCGUGGGCGCAGGAUAUUUGAGAGGAUCUGUCCUUAGUACGAGAGGACCGGGAUGGACGCACCUCUGGUGCAUCAGUUGUCACGCCAGUGGCACGGCUGAGCAGCUAAGUGCGGAUUGGAUAAACGCUGAAAGCAUCUAAGCGUGAAGCCAGCCUCAAGAUAAGAUAUCCCACUGAGUAAUCAGGUAAGGUCCCAGGAAGACUACCUGGUAGAUAGGCUGCAGGUGUAAGUGUCGUGAGGCAUUGAGCCAGGCAGUACUAAUAGACCGAGGGCUUGACCU
rnacentral:rRNA from 1 species